GUAGGUAGUAAACAGUGGUUAUGGUA
rnacentral:sRNA from 1 species